GACGAAGGGGGCUAGCGUUGUCCGGAAUCAUUGGGCGUAAAGAGCGCGUAGGCGGCCCGAUAAGUCCGCUGUGAAAGUCAAGGGCUCAACCCUUGAAUGCCGGUGGAUACUGUCGGGCUAGAGUACGGAAGAGGCGAGUGGAAUUCCUGGUGUAGCGGUGAAAUGCGCAGAUAUCAGGAAGAACACCAAUGGCGAAGGCAGCUCUCUGGGACGGUACUGACGCUGAGACGCGAAAGCGUGGGGAGCGAACAGG
rnacentral:rRNA from 1 species